rnacentral:rRNA from 1 species
GGAAUAUUGGACAAUGGGCGAAAGCCUGAUCCAGCCAUGCCGCGUGUGUGAAGAAGGCUUUCGGGUUGUAAAGCACUUUCAGUGAGGAAGAAAGCCUUGGGGCUAAUACCCCCAAGGGACGACAUCACUCACAGAAGAAGCACCGGCUAACUCCGUGCCAGCAGCCGCGGUAAUACGGAGGGUGCGAGCGUUAAUCGGAAUUACUGUGCGUAAAGCGCGCGUAGGUGGCUGGAUAAGCCGGUUGUGAAAGCCCCGGGCUCAACCUGGGAACGGCAUCCGGAACUGUCAGGCUAGAGUGCAGGAGAGGAAGGUAGAAUUCCCGGUGUAGCGGUGAAAUGUGUAGAGAUCGGGAGGAAUACCAGUGGCGAAGGCGGCCUUCUGGACUGACACUGACACUGAGGUGCGAAAGCGUGGGUAGCAAAC